GACGAACGCUGGCGGCGUGCCUAAUACAUGCAAGUAGAACGCAGUUGCGAACGGGUGAGUAACGCGUAGGUAACUGCCUCAUAGCGGGGGAUAACUAUUGGAAACGAUAGCUAAUACCGCAUACUGUGAGAUGGACCUGCGUUGUAUUAGGUAGGUGGUGAGGUAAAGGCUCACCAAGGGGCCGAUACAUAGCCGACCUGAGAGGGUGGUCGGCCAACAUGGGACUGGUGAACGGCCCAGAAUCCUACGGGGGGCAGGCGUUGGGAAUCUGCGGAAAUUGAGGGAAGUCUGACUGAGGAGCGGCGGGGGGGUGAAUAAAGUUUUCCGGAUGUAAAGCUCUGUUGUUAGAGGAACGGUAACUAACCAGAAAGGGACGGCUAACUACGUGCCAGCAGCCGCGGUAAUUC
rnacentral:rRNA from 1 species